rnacentral:tRNA from 1 species
GGGGCAGUAGCUGAGUGGUAGAGCUCCGCUUUGCAUGCAGGAGGACCCGGGUUUAAUUCCCGGCUGGUUCC